GUGGUGGGUUGUCCCCAGUUCGGACCAGUUCUAUAGAACCGGUAGUAAAGCCGUUGGGAGGCUCCGCCCACCAACCCCGACAUCAUCAGGAAACUUCUGCGCAUGCGUGCGGCCCUAUUGUGAACCGGUAGUAAAGUAACCACGAAGUACCAUCCAUCGAAGAAGGUGGAACCAUUCUAAGAAAAUGUCCUCAAUUCCCAUAGGCAGUCCAGGAGGACACCAUACUCAUGAAUGGGAAGAAGAAACUAAAAAUCAGGAUAUUAGAGCAACCACCUCUCCUUCUGACUUUUUUUCUGAAUGAUUUUAUGGCCUAUAUUGAGUUAAUCUUUGUUAGGGCAGUAAAUAUUCCUACAGGAGGUGUGCCAGACAUGUUUACAGCUAUGGGCGCUUUCCUCCAGCCUGAUAUCUGCUCUGCAUAUAUUUUAUGCUUUCCUAAGGAGCAGCUGGGAUGAAGAAUUUGGAGAAGCAGCCUGAGAUCCUGAGGAAUACAAGGAGAUUCCUGAGGCCAUUAAACAAAAUGUGACACA